rnacentral:rRNA from 1 species
ACCUGUGAACCCACCGUAGGCCUUCGGGCUUAUGUAUCAUAUACUCUGAAUGUGUCAUAGAAUGUUCAUGUUGCCUUAAAACGCAAUCAAAUACAACUUUCAACAACGGAUCUCUUGGCUCUCGCAUCGAUGAAGAACGCAGCGAAAUGCGAUAAGUAAUGUGAAUUGCAGAUUUUCAGUGAAUCAUCGAAUCUUUGAACGCACCUUGCGCUCCUUGGUAUUCCGAGGAGCAUGCCUGUUUGAGUGUCAUUAAAUUCUCAACCCCACCGAUUUGCUUCGGGGGGAUUGGACUUGGAGCGUGCUGGCGAAGGUCGGCUCCUCUUUAAAUGCAUCAGUGGAGAGAAACUUGCCCCAGUGUGAUAAUCCUGUUGCGCUGUGGUGGGUGAAAGUCUGCUACCAACCGUCCCUCUGGGGACAUACAUCAUCUUAUUUUGACCUCAAAUCAGGUAGGACUACCCGCUGAACUUAAGCAUAUC